AUGUUCUCUGAAUCUCACAACUAUUUCGUAUUCAGGUGUUCAGGAGAACACAACAGAAAAUUAGAUCGAUCAGAGAGUUGCCUUUGUUCCACAAACCAUGACACGGAAGCAAUUCAGAAACAACAUGAUGAACAAGUGUGCUCAAAAGAAAACAGUUUAACCACAGUUACUGCAAUUCUCUCAGUCGCCAAGCAGAAAUUGCCAGACACUUACAAAGAGCAAGAGAAGCGUAUUCUGAAGAUUUUGCGUGAGGUUGUGAACCGCGGAAGACUUCAUAGUGGGUGCCAGCAGAUCAUCAAGUUCUGUAGAUACAGUACAACAGCAGCCAUUAUCCAAAUAAGAGACGCUGAAACCAUCUAA
rnacentral:rRNA from 1 species